rnacentral:rRNA from 1 species
UCAAAUGAAAAGGGCACAGGGCGGAUGCCUUGGCUCCAGGAAGCGAUGAAGGACGUGGCAAGCUGCGAUAAGCCUCGGGGAGAAGCAAACAUUCUUUGAUCCGGGGAUUUCCGAAUGGGGAAACCCGCCUGAGUCUCUCAGGCAUCGCUGGCUGAAUUCAUAGGUCAGCGAAGCGAACCCGGGGAACUGAAACAUCUAAGUACCCGGAGGAAAAAAAAUCAAACGAGAUUCCCUCAGUAGCGGCGAGCGAACGGGGAAGAGCCCAAACCAUCCGGUACGCCGGGUGGGGUUGUAGGACCAUCAUACGGGCAGGCAAAGGGUUAGCGGAAGCACUUGGGAAAGUGCGCCAAAGAGGGUUAGAGCCCCGUAGGCGAAAACCGUGAGCCGCCUGAUGGCACCUGAGUAGGACGGGACACGUGAAAUCCUGUUCGAAGCUGGGGGGACCACCCUCCAAGGCUAAAUAUUCCCUGGAGACCGAUAGCGAACCAGUACCGUGAGGGAAAGGUGAAAAGAACCCCGAUGAGGGGAGUGAAAUAGAUCCUGAAACCCUGUGUCUACAAGCAGUGGAAGCUCCUCAUGUGAGCGACCGCGUGCCUUUUGCAUAAUGAGCCAACGAGUUAAGGUCAGUGGCGAGGUUAAGUUAUUAACGGAGCCGAAGCGAAAGCGAGUCUGAAUAGGGCGUCGAGUCGCUGGCCUUAGACCCGAAACCGAGUGAUCUAGCCCCGUCCAGGUUGAAGCUUGGGUAAGACCAAGUGAAGGACCGAACCAGUAUACCUUAAAACGUAUUUGGAUGAGGUGGGGUUAGGAGUGAAAGGCUAAUCAAACUCGGAAAUAGCUGGUUCUCCCCGAAAUAUAUUUAGGUAUAGCCUCGAGACAGGCUGCCGGAGGUAGAGCACUGAUUGGACUAGGGGGCCCACCAGCCUACCAAACCCAGUCAAACUCCGAAUGCCGGCAAGUCAUUUCUCGGGAGUCAGACGGCGUGAGCUAACUUUCGUCGUCGAAAGGGAAACAACCCAGACCGCCAGCUAAGGCCCCCAAGUAUCAGUUAAGUGUGAAAGGAUGUGGGAGCGCCCAGACAACCAGGAAGUUAGCUUAGAAGCAGCUACCUUUUAAAGAAAGCGUAAUAGCUCACUGGUCAAGCGAACCUGCGCCGAAAAUAUAACGGGGCUCAAACUGAUCGCCGAAGCUGCGGAAUCAAUAUGAUUGGUAGGGGAGCUUUCCCUGGGCGGUGAAGCUGGAUCGUAAGGGCCAGUGGAGCGCAGGGAAGUGAGGAUGUUGGCAUGAGUAACGAAAAUGCGGGCGAGAAACCCGCACGCCGAAAGUCCAAGGGUUCCCGUGGCCAUGUUAAUCAGCCCGGGGUUAGUCGGCCCCUAAGGCGAGGCCGAAAGGCGUAGUCGAUGGGAAACAGAUUAAUAUUCCUGUACUGAAAGUUGCGCGCGAUGGAGGGACGCAGCAGGAUAGGUCAGCCGGGUGACGGAUAUCCCGGUUUAAGGUCGUAGUCGGUCUGCUUAGGUAAAUCCGGGCAGGCAACGACGAGAGCUGAUGACGAGAGGUUCGCCUCACAAAGUGAUUGAUUCCACACUGCCAAGAAAAGCUUCUAAGUAUAGUAACUUUCAACCGUACCCCAAACCGACACAGGUGGACUGGUAGAGAAUACCAAGGCGCUUGAGUGAUAUCACGUUAAGGAACUCUGCAAAAUAGCUCCGUAUCUUCGGUAGAAGGAGUGCCUCCAGUAUGUGAAUGGGCUUGCCCCAAGAGCAGACAGAGGCCGCAGUGAAAGGGCCCAGGCGACUGUUUAGCAAAAACAUAGCACUCUGCUAAAUCGCAAGAUGACGUAUAGGGUGUGACGCCUGCCCGGUGCCGGAAGGUUAAGAGGAGGAGUCAGCGCAAGCGAAGCUGCGAAUCGAAGCCCCGGUAAACGGCGGCCGUAACUAUAACGGUCCUAAGGUAGCGAAAUUCCUUGUCGGGUAAGUUCCGACCUGCACGAAUGGCGUAACGAUCUGGGCACUGUCUCAACGUGAUACUCAGUGAAAUUGAAACAGCGGUGAAGAUACCGUUAACCCGCAGCAAGACGGAAAGACCCCGUGAACCUUUACUAUAGCUUGGCAGUGAAUCUCGGAUGAGCUUGUGUAGGAUAGGUGGUAGACUUUGAAGGACCAACGCUAGUUGGUCUGGAGUCGCCCUUGAAAUACCACCCUGGCUUGUCUGGGCUUCUAACCCGGAUCCAUUAGCUGGAUCGGGGACCCUGUCUGGUGGGUAGUUUGACUGGGGCGGUCGCCUCCUAAAGCGUAACGGAGGCGCGCAAAGGUUCCCUCAGAACGAUUGGAAACCGUUCGCAGAGCGUAAAGGCAUAAGGGAGCCUGACUGCAAGAGAGACAUCUCAAGCAGGGACGAAAGUCGGUCUUAGUGAUCCGGUGGUCCCGUGUGGAAGGGCCAUCGCUCAACGGAUAAAAGGUACUCCGGGGAUAACAGGCUAAUCGCGCCCAAGAGUUCAUAUCGACGGCGCGGUUUGGCACCUCGAUGUCGGCUCAUCGCAUCCUGGGGCUGAAGCAGGUCCCAAGGGUAUGGCUGUUCGCCAUUUAAAGCGGUACGCGAGCUGGGUUCAGAACGUCGUGAGACAGUUCGGUCCCUAUCUGUUGUGGGCGCAGGAGAUUUGAGAGGAGCUGCUCUUAGUACGAGAGGACCGGAGUGGACGAACCUCUAGUGUUCCGGUUGUCGCGCCAGCGGCACCGCCGGGUAGCUACGUUCGGAAGAGAUAACCGCUGAAAGCAUCUAAGCGGGAAACUCACCUCAAGAGAGAUCUCCCGGGCAUUUAUGCCCCUUAAGGUCACAGAAAGACGAUCUGUUUGAUAGGCUGGAAAUGGAAGCAUGGCAACAUGCGCAGUUGACCAGUACUAAGCGACCGUGCGAUUUGACUUC